rnacentral:rRNA from 1 species
AACGGCUGCUAAUACCGCAUAAGCGCACAGUGCUGCAUGGUACCGUGUGAAAAGAUUUUAUCGGUGUAAGAUGGACCCGCGUCUGAUUAGCUAGUUGGUGGGGUAACGGCCUACCAAGGCAACGAUCAGUAGCCGGCUUGAGAGAGUGAACGGCCACAUUGGGACUGAGACACGGCCCAAACUCCUACGGGAGGCAGCAGUGGGGAAUAUUGCACAAUGGGGGAAACCCUGAUGCAGCGACGCCGCGUGAGUGAAGAAGUAUUUCGGUAUGUAAAGCUCUAUCAGCAGGGACGAAAAAAUGACGGUACCUGACUAAGAAGCCCCGGCUAACUACGUGCCAGCAGCCGCGGUAAUACGUAGGUGGCAAGCGUUGUCCGGAAUUAUUGGGCGUAAAGCGCGCGCAGGCGGAUCAGUCAGUCUGUCUUAAAAGUUCGGGGCUUAACCCCGUGAGGGGAUGGAAACUGCUGAUCUAGAGUAUCGGAGAGGAAAGUGGAAUUCCUAGUGUAGCGGUGAAAUGCGUAGAUAUUAGGAAGAACACCAGUGGCGAAGGCGACUUUCUGGACGAAAACUGACGCUGAGGCGCGAAAGCCAGGGGAGCGAACGGGAUUAGAUACCCCGGUAGUCCUGGCCGUAAACGAUGGGUACUAGGUGUAGGAGGUAUCGACCCCUUCUGUGCCGGAGUUAACGCAAUAAGUACCCCGCCUGGGGAGUACGACCGCAAGGUUGAAACUCA